UCUGUCCCCUUACUGUUUUCCAGACCCUCAGAUCCACUUCUCACAGCCAUUUCCCCCCGUCCCCCACCCCUACCCCAUGCCCAGCAUCACCGAGGUCACCCGGGCCCCUGUGUGACACUCACACACACGCACCCUCACGCCUGCACACGCACCCUACAGCUCACACUUACUGGCACCCACAUCCUGGCACGUGUUUGCACACACACGUGAAUCCAGGGUCCACAGCCUCAGCCGCAUGCCCGCUCUGGGGUCCAGCAGCCGGAUCGCUCUCCAGAAAGUGCCACAGGAAGCAGACAUCAUCCUGACCUGGCAAGCACUUUGGGGUGUCACCCGCAGCCGAAUCAGCAGCUUCCUGGCCACGUGGUCCGGCCACCGUCACAGCGCAAGCACAGCUUUGUCGCGAGCUUUACAAAAUGAACACUUCCCCUACCAUCAAAUGGCUCACCCACGUCCAAUUAGUAACCGGGGUCUUGUCUUCCAGGUACUAGGCCUGACACUCGAAUUUGCCGUAUUCACUACUAUCCCCCGUCCUAACAGGCAUUCCCUCCUGUAAAGAAACAUGACAUAAACGACUGUUUGCCAAAAAAGUUCAUUUCUGCAUAUAUUGUUCUAGGACAGAUGUUCAGGGUCAAAACAGUGUAUUUUUGGGUGCAUGUAUCACUUUAAUGAGGUGGUCGACUUUUGUGGAAGUCGACACACCGCGGAGGCCUCUGCAAAUGUUUCUUAUUAAGUGUGGCCUCUCUCCCUCGGGAUCUAUACAUUGAGAUGCUCUCACCAGAGGUGUUUAACCACCUAUUUGCGCUGCUCAGAGACAGACCUGCCGGUGUAACUCAGCACCAAGUUCCAUGGCCUCGGGGACGUGUUGCCUGGCGAAUCUGUCUAAUAAACUCAACCUGUUCUUUACAA